ACUCCUGGACGGGGAGGGCAGUCAGGGUAGGGAUAUUUGCACAAUGGGGGGAAACCCUGAUGCAGCCAUGCCGCGUGUGUGAAGAAGGCCUUCGGGUUGUAAAGCACUUUUCAGUAGGGAGGAAGGUAGUGUAGUUAACACCUGCAUUAUUUGACGUUACCUACAGAAGAAGCACCGGCUAACUCCGUGCCAGCAGCCGCGGUAAUACGGAGGGUGCGAGCGUUAAUCGGAAUUACUGGGCGUAAAGCGCAUGCAGGCGGCCUGUUAAGUCAGAUGUGAAAGCCCGGGGCUUAACCUCGGAAUUGCAUUUGAAACUGGCAGGCUAGAGUCUUGUAGAGGGGGUAGAAUUUCAGGUGUAGCGGUGAAAUGCGUAGAGAUCUGAAGGAAUACC
rnacentral:rRNA from 1 species